rnacentral:rRNA from 1 species
UACGAAGGGGGCUAGCGUUGUUCGGAAUUACUGGGCGUAAAGCGCACGUAGGCGGGCGAUUAAGUCAGGGGUGAAAUCCCGGAGCUCAACUCCGGAACUGCCUUUGAUACUGGUCGUCUAGAGAUCGGAAGAGGUGAGUGGAAUUCCCAGUGUAGAGGUGAAAUUCGUAGAUAUUGGGAAGAACACCAGUGGCGAAGGCGGCUCACUGGCUCGUUACUGACGCUCAGGCACGACAGCGUGGGGAUCAAACAGG